rnacentral:snRNA from 1 species
AUCGCUUCUCAGCCUUUUGGCUAAGAUCAAGCGUAGUAUCUGUAGAAAUCAUAGAAUCAUGGAUUUCAUGGUGAAGAUAUGUGAUUUCAGCCUUUGCUGAAUCUUUCAAGCAUGCC